rnacentral:rRNA from 1 species
AGCGAACGCUGGCGGCAGGCCUAACACAUGCAAGUCGAGCGCCCCGCAAGGGGAGCGGCAGACGGGAGAGUAACACAUAAAAACAUGCCCUUCAGUUCGGAACAACCCAGGGAAACUUGAGCUAAUACCGGAUACAUCCGUAAGGAGAAAGAUUUAUCGCUGAAGGAUUGGCCCGCGUCCGAUUAGCUAGUUGGUGAGGUAAUGGCUCACCAAGGCGACGAUCGGUAGCUGGUCUGAGAGGAUGAUCAGCCUCACUGGGACUGAGACACGGCCCAGACUCCUACGGGAGGCAGCAGUGGGGAAUAUUGGACAAUGGGCGCAAGCCUGAUCCAGCCGUGCCGCGUGGGUGAUGAAGGCCCUAGGGUUGUAAAGCCCUUUCGGCGAGGAAGAUAAUGACGGUACCCGCAGAAGAAGCCCCAGCUAACUUCGUGCCAGCCGCCGCGGUAAUAC